rnacentral:rRNA from 1 species
CCUACGGGGCGCAGCGGUGGGGAAUAUUGGACAAUGGGGGAAACCCUGAUCCAGCGACGCCGCGUGAGUGAAGAAGUAUUUCGGUACGUAAAGCUCUAUCAGCAGGAAAGAAAAUGACGGUACCUGACUAAGAAGCCCCGGCUAACUACGUGCCAGCAGCCGCGGUAAUACGUAGGGGGCAAGCGUUAUCCGGAUUUACUGGGUGUAAAGGGAGCGUAGACGGCAGCGCAAGUCUGGAGUGAAAUGCCGGGGCCCAACCCCGGAACUGCUCUGGAAGCUGGGGGAGCGAACAGGAUUAGAUACCC